UAGGGAAUCUUCGGCAAUGGGGGGAACCCUGACCGAGCAACGCCGCGUGAGUGAAGAAGGUUUUCGGAUCGUAAAGCUCUGUUGUUAAGGAAGAACGAGUGUGAGAAUGGAAAGUUCAUGCUGUGACGGUACUUAACCAGAAAGGGACGGCUAACUACGUGCCAGCAGCCGCGGUAAUACGUAGGUCCCGAGCGUUGUCCGGAUUUAUUGGGCGUAAAGCGAGCGCAGGCGGUUAGAAAAGUCUGAAGUGAAAGGCAGUGGCUCAACCAUUGUAGGCUUUGGAAACUGUUUAACUUGAGUGCAGAAGGGGGGGGUGGAAUUCCAUGUGUAGCGGUGAAAUGCGUAGAUAUGUGGAGGAACACCGGUGGCGAAAGCGGCUCUCUGGUCUGUAACUGACGCGGAGGCUCGAAAGCGUGGGGAGCGAACAGG
rnacentral:rRNA from 1 species